rnacentral:rRNA from 1 species
CCUACGGGAGGCAGCAGUGGGGAAUAUUGCACAAUGGGGGAAACCCUGAUGCAGCGACGCCGCGUGAGUGAAGAAGUAAUUCGUUAUGUAAAGCUCUAUCAGUAGGGAAGAAAAUGACGGUACCUGAGUAAGAAGUUCUGGCUAACUACGUGCCAGCAGUAGUGGUAAUACGGAGGGGGCAAGCGUUAUCCGGAUUUACUGGGUGUAAAGGGAGCGUAGACGGGAGUGCAAGUCUGGAGUGAAAGGGGGGGGCUCAACCUCAGGAGUGUACUGGAAACUGUCAGGUUGGAGUGCAGGAGAGGUAGGUGGAAUUCGUGGUGUAGCGGUGAAAUGCGUAGAUAUUACGAAGAACACCGAUGGCGAAGGCAGCUUACUAAACUGUGACUGACAUUGAGGCUCGAAAGCGUGGGGAGCAAACAGGAUUAGAUACCCUUGUAGUC